rfam:Capsicum annuum cultivar Zunla-1 chromosome 1, whole genome shotgun sequence
ACCUCAUGGUUGGGACAUUGCAUGAGUUUUUCAUUGAAGCUUUCACACACCUCGUAUGAGGGUUCACCAUUCAAUUACUAAAAGUUAAUGAUUUUAUAAUGCAAUU